CAUGACGGCGGUCAUGGAAGCAGCAGCGAAAAGAACUCCGCAAGCAAUCUUCUUCAUCUCCAUUUUUAGUUGAGACCUGAAAGGGUUUAUUUUCUUCUUUUUGUUUGGUAGUUUUGUUACUUUUUUUUGUUUCUUGCAGGUCUGAAGAAAAAUAGAUGGUGUUCAAGGGGAUUUAUACGGGAGCGUCUGUGAUGGUGGAGCAGAACCAGGAUGGGGACCAGAACCAUUAGUAGGCUUACACGAACUUUCCUUUUACUAAAAUGCGACCCACUUUGAGCCCACAUAGAGUGAGCCUGAGCCUAAGAUGCAAAAAGUACUUGCAAUAUACGAUGGGUGUAAAGAGUUUUUCUUUCAAAAUGAAAGGACAUGACACAUGGAGAUUCUGUCCAAAGGACUCCCAAGUUGUGUCUUUGGCUGUCUCUUUCUUUUUGUCUUUCUGCUUUGGGAUCUCUUUUCAAUUUCAUUGGCUGCUUUUUCAAAUUUAAACUGUUAACUGUAAAUCUUGAGUCUUGUAAUAUCACUGCACAUAAUUUCAA